rnacentral:rRNA from 1 species
GUUACAAAUACAAAUAACAUCCGCCAGGGUACUACAAGCGCUAGCUUAAAACCCAAAGGACUUGACGGUGUCUCAGACCCACCUAGAGGAGCCUGUUCUAGAACCGAUAAUCCCCGUUAAACCUCACCACCCCUUGCUAAUCCCGCCUAUAUACCGCCGUCGCAAGCUUACCCUGUGAAGGACUCAUAGUAAGCAAAAUGGGUAAAUCCCAAAACGUCAGGUCGAGGUGUAGCUCACGAGGUGGAAAGAAAUGGGCUACAUUUUCUAUAACAGAAUACUACGGACAACACCAUGAAACUGGUGCUCAAAGGUGGAUUUAGUAGUAAAAAUCAAAUAGAGCGUGUUUUUGAACCAGGCUCUGAGACGCGCACACACCGCCC